rnacentral:rRNA from 1 species
UACGUAGGUGGCAAGCGUUGUUCGGAAUUAUUGGGCGUAAAGGGCGCGUAGGCGGCCUGUUAAGUCGGCUGUGAAAGCCUGGGGCUCAACCCCAGAGGGUCGGCCGAUACUGGCAAGCUAGAGUACGGAAGAGGUAGCUGGAAUUCCCGGUGUAGUGGUGAAAUGCGUAGAUAUCGGGAGGAACACCUGAGGCGAAGGCGGGCUACUGGGCCGAUACUGACGCUGAUGCGCGAAAGCCAGGGGAGCGAACGGG